AGAGUUUGAUCCUGGCUCAGAACGAACGCUGGCGGCAGGCUUAACACAUGCAAGUCGAACGAGCUGGGAACUUCGGUUCCCGAUGCUAGUGGCGCACGGGUGAGUAACACGUGGGAACGUACCCUUUAGUACGGAAUAACUCAGGGAAACUUGAGCUAAUACCGUAUGACUCCUCAGGGAGAAAGAUUUAUCGCUAAAGGAACGGCCCGCGUCUGAUUAGGUAGUUGGUGAGGUAACGGCUCACCAAGCCGACGAUCAGUAGCUGGUCUGAGAGGAUGAUCAGCCACACUGGGACUGAGACACGGCCCAGACUCCUACGGGAGGCAGCAGUGGGGAAUAUUGGACAAUGGGGGCAACCCUGAUCCAGCCAUGCCGCGUGAGUGAAGAAGGCCUUCGGGUUGUAAAGCUCUUUCGACGGGGACGAUGAUGACGGUACCCGUAUAAGAAGCCCCGGCAAACUUCGUGCCAGCAGCCGCGGUAAUACGAAGGGGGCUAGCGUUGUUCGGAAUUACUGGGCGUAAAGCGCGCGUAGGCGGUGAUCCAUGUCAGAGGUGAAAGCCUGGAGCUCAACUCCAGAAUUGCCUUUGAAACGGGAUCGCUAGAGUCCGAGAGAGGAUGGCGGAAUUCCUAGUGUAGAGGUGAAAUUCGUAGAUAUUAGGAAGAACACCGGGCGAAGGCGGCCAUCUGGCUCGGUACUGACGCUCAGGCGCGAAAGCGUGGGGAGCAAACAGGAUUAGAUACCCUAGUAGUCC
rnacentral:rRNA from 1 species